UACGAAGGGGGCUAGCGUUGCUCGGAAUCACUGGGCGUAAAGGGUGCGCAGGCGGGGCUUUAAGUCAGGGGUGAAAUCCUGGAGCUCAACUCCAGAACUGCCUUUGAUACUGAGGAUCUUGAGUCCGGGAGAGGUGAGUGGAACUGCGAGUGUAGAGGUGAAAUUCGUAGAUAUUCGCAAGAACACCAGUGGCGAAGGCGGCUCACUGGCCCGGUACUGACGCUGAGGCACGAAAGCGUGGGGAGCAAACAGG
rnacentral:rRNA from 1 species